rnacentral:tRNA from 1 species
GCUGUGAUGGCUCAACUGGUACAGCACCGGCCUUGAAAUCCGGCAUGUCGGGUGAGAUUCCCGCUUUCAGGGUUCGAAUCCCUGUCACAGCG